rnacentral:tRNA from 1 species
ACCGAAAUAGCUCAGUUGGGGGAGCGUUAGACUAUAGAUUGAAAAAUCCCUGGUUGGAUCCCGGGUUUUUUUA